rnacentral:lncRNA from 1 species
UAGGUCCAUUUCACCCAACCCAUUCUGAGUCGCCAAAUACAUGGUACAGAAAUAACUACAACUUCAAUAAUACAAAUGUCGUGUGAAAUACGACAAUACAUACUGUGAGUUUAAAUACAGAUAUUGCUGUCUAGACAAUAUCCACACGCAAAUAAAUCCCCAUCAUAAUUAUUGAUACAUUAUUUUACAAAAAUGGUGAGGACUACUAAACAACUCUCUCUAGAACCUUCAUUCCAUACCCCGACUCGAUCCUGCUAUGUUCUCACCUCCUGAGAAGAAAAUGGAACAACAAGGAAAAGGGUGAGCUCAACUAGCCCAGUAAAGAAUAUUAUGACUAAGAUAAUAUACAACAAAUUAUCGUUAGUCUUCAACAGGGAAAAAUCUAAUA